rnacentral:rRNA from 1 species
AUUGAACGCUGGCGGCAGGCCUAACACAUGCAAGUCGAGCGGUAACAGAGAGUAGCUUGCUACUUUGCUGACGAGCGGCGGACGGGUGAGUAAUGCUUGGGAACAUGCCUUGAGGUGGGGGACAACAGUUGGAAACGACUGCUAAUACCGCAUAAUGUCUACGGACCAAAGGGGGCUUCGGCUCUCGCCUUUAGAUUGGCCCAAGUGGGAUUAGCUAGUUGGUGAGGUAAUGGCUCACCAAGGCGACGAUCCCUAGCUGGUUUGAGAGGAUGAUCAGCCACACUGGGACUGAGACACGGCCCAGACUCCUACGGGAGGCAGCAGUGGGGAAUAUUGCACAAUGGGCGCAAGCCUGAUGCAGCCAUGCCGCGUGUGUGAAGAAGGCCUUCGGGUUGUAAAGCACUUUCAGUCAGGAGGAAAGGUUAGUAGUUAAUACCUGCUAGCUGUGACGUUACUGACAGAAGAAGCACCGGCUAAC